rnacentral:rRNA from 1 species
UACGGGAGGCAGCAGUAGGGAAUCUUCGGCAAUGGACGAAAGUCUGACCGAGCAACGCCGCGUGAGUGAAGAAGGUUUUCGGAUCGUAAAACUCUGUUGUUAGAGAAGAACGUUGCAUAGAGUGGAAAAUUAUGCAAGUGACGGAUCUACCAGAAAGACGCACCC